rnacentral:piRNA from 1 species
UGAGAUUAAAUAUUUACUACAACAUAUUGGU